rnacentral:lncRNA from 1 species
CGUAAGCCCUGGCUAGGAAACUGUCAAUAGUGUUUCCAUCCAAAGAUCCUUAGUCACUUGUGCAAGGCCUUUGCCAUCUAAGUAACAGACAGAACCUUUGAGAGCACUGCCAAGAAGGUUACAGUCUGAGACACAGAAACAUGGAAGUCAAACAAAGAAGUGCAACCAAGGAGAGACUUAACAGCUGAGAGCUUGGAAAGAUGUUUAAAGGGCAGGUACUGGAUUCUGGGCAGACUGCUGAGAAAACAAGUGAGCCAAGGGUGCGUGUGUUGGAGGAGGAGUGCCAGUUAAGAGGUGAUUACAAGAAGUCUCAAGAACCUGUGCUGAUGAAUUUGGGAACAAAGCAGGGUACUCAGGUGAUGCUGUAAUCAGUUGACCCAAGUUAAAGAUCAUAGCAGGUAUUGCAAGGAUGGAGAUAUCCUGUCAUUCUUUCCCAGAAGUUGGUCACAAACCCAGGCUGGUCCAACAAGACAUUCUCUCUCAAGACCCCAAUCUUGAGUACAGUGGCUACAUUGUGGAAACUGCACCACAUAUCCACUCCAGGAAACAGGGUCAAGAGAAAAGGAUUGGGUCCAUGCUGCCUUCACACCAGAUCUAUCCUGGUUCCUGCUCUUGGCCCUCUAAAGUGACCUCAUCUUCCUAUUCAUUAUGCAAAUUUUUGACAUCCCUCCAGUGUAGAAGCUUCAUGUAUAAGGUUAACAAACGGUUUCUGCCUUACAAAGAAUCAUGGCCCAAACUCAAGUCCACUUGUGAAGAUGUUUUGGAGUUCCAUGCUGCCUCUGCUUCAGCAUCAUUGAACAUUGUGAAGUGUGCAUGAAGCAGGAGGCCACCAGUACCUUCCUUUCCAUGUAUGUUGGAUUCCUGAUGCUGUUCUAAUAAAUCACUCCAAUUUCAGUGACAUUAAAAACAACAUGAAUUCAGGCUGAGGAGAUGGCUCCGCAGACAGAAGCAACUAUCACCAACCAGUGUUGUGGCAUAUUAGUUAAAGAUGUAUUACAUUCUUUUAUGUCUUCAUCCAGCAGCUGGUGGAAGUAGAAGCAGACACCCACAGCUAAACCUUGGACUGAACUGAAAUCCAGAUGCAGAGAAUGAGGACUGAUGAGCAAAGGGGUCCAUACCAGGCUGGUGAAACCCACAGAAACAGCUGAUCUGAACAAGGGAAAACUCUUGCUCCCCAAACUGAUAGCUGGGAAACCAGCAUGGGACUGAUCCAGACCCCCUGAAUGUGGAUGUCAGUGAGGAGACCUUGGGAAUCUAUGGGGCUUCUUGUAGUGAAUCAGUACUUAUUGCUACCAUAGGAAUGGACUUUAGGAGCCCAUCCCACAUGGAGGGAUACUCCCUGAGCCUAGAUACAAGAGGGUUGGCCUAGGCCCUAUCCCAAAGAAUAUGACAGACUUGGAAGACCCCCCAUGGAAGUCCUCACCCUCCCUGGGGAGCAGAAAGGGUAUGGGAUGGGUAGGGUGGUAGUUGGG